rnacentral:rRNA from 1 species
UACGUAGGGGGCUAGCGUUGUCCGGAAUUAUUGGGCGUAAAGCGCGCGCAGGCGGUCCUUUAAGUCUGAUGUGAAAGCCCACGGCUCAACCGUGGAGGGUCAUUGGAAACUGGGGGACUUGAGUACAGAAGAGGAAAGCGGAAUUCCACGUGUAGCGGUGAAAUGCGUAGAGAUGUGGAGGAACACCAGUGGCGAAGGCGGCUUUCUGGUCUGUAACUGACGCUGAGGCGCGAAAGCGUGGGGAGCAAACAGG